GACGAACGCUGGCGGCGUGCUUAACACAUGCAAGUCGAACGAUGAAGCUAGAGCUUGCUCUGGUGGAUUAGUGGCGAACGGGUGAGUAACACGUGAGUAACCUGCCCCGAACUCUGGGAUAGCUGCUGGAAACGGUAGCUAAUACCGGAUAUGACCAAUGAAGGCAUCUUCUGUUGGUGGAAAGAAUUUCGGUUCGGGAUGGACCCGCGGCCUAGCAGCUUGUUGGUGAGGUAACGGCUCACCAAGGCGACGACGGGUAGCGGGCCGGAGAGGGUGAUCGGCCACACUGGGACUGGGACACGGCCCAGACUCCUGCGGGAGGCAGCAGUGGGGAAUAUUGCACAAUGGGCGCAAGCCUGAUGCAGCAACGCCGCGUGAGGGACGACGGCCUUCGGGUUGUAAACCUCUUUUAGUAGGGAAGAAGCGAAAGUGACGGUACCUGCAGAAAAAGCACCGGCUAACUACGUGCCAGCCGCCGCCGUAA
rnacentral:rRNA from 1 species